rnacentral:lncRNA from 10 species
CCUGGGCAACACAGCAAGACACUAUCUCUAAAAAUAAUAAUAAUAAAAUAAAUGAAUGGCAAGAGAGAUCAAGUAUAAAUGAAUGACAAAUGGGCAGAUAUAGUGGAGAUUUAAAAUAUCAACAUAUGCUAUGAAGAAAGACAAGUAUGAAAUAGUAGGUUUGGAGAGUGUGCAGCCCCACAUUAUCAAGGCCACUCAUUUUAUGUUUCCGUCUGGAUCCCUGCACUGGCAGGGGCCAAGAGCAGUUAGUUUGGUAGUCCUGGGAUGCAGAAUUCAGAAUGACACAGGCUUUCUAGGUCCCAUGCAACUGCACGAGGUGAACGGCAAGCGGCUGAGUAAUACUUGGGUUCAAAUUACCAAGCAAGGGGGCAACUAAAAUUCAGAAAUACUGUACUUCUAUUCUUACUUUAUUAUUAAUGAAUUGCUUUCCCCUUUUAACUUCUCAGGAAUUCCACUUCUUCAGGGAAUAAAUAUUUAUUAGAUAUUUAUCAGUUUGCAGAAAUCCCGCAACGCAGAAAAACAAGUCAACAUCUGUUACUUCUAUUUGCAGAAAACCGGUAAAUUCAAACAGUGUGCUAAUGUUUCCACUCGGGAGGAGUGUAACUGCACAAAGGAUCAGAAGUUUUCACAUGCUGUUGCUUUCUCGGAUUGCAGGGAAAAAGUUCCUCGCUUUAAGUUUCCAAUUACACAAUAUCCAGUUUCUUUGGAAAUUAUCAACGAGGAUGGACGUGUCCCAUUGCAAUCUCCAUAUC